rnacentral:rRNA from 1 species
CGCUGGCGGCACGCCUAACACAUGCAAGUCGAACGAAGUAGCAAUACUUAGUGGCAGACGGGUGAGUAACAUGUAGGUAUCUACCCUUUGGCCUGGAAUAACACGAGGAAACUUGUGCUAAUACCGGAUAAGUCUUUACGGAGAAAGCUUUAUGCACCAUUGGAUGAGCCUGCAUUUGAUUAGUUUGUUGGUAGGGUAAUGGCCUACCAAGACUGUGAUCAAUAGCUGAUUUGAGAGGAUGAUCAGCCACAUUGGGACUGAGACACGGCCCAAACUCCUACGGGAGGCAGCAGUGGGGAAUCUUGCACAAUGGAGGAAACUCUGAUGCAGCGAUGCCGCGUGAGUGAAGAAGGCCCUUGGGUUGUAAAGCUCUUUCGUCGGGGAAGAAAAUGACUGUACCCGAAUAAGAAGGUCCGGCUAACUUCGUGCCAGCAGCCGCGGUAAUACGAAGGGACCUAGCGUAGUUCGGAAUUACUGGGCUUAAAGAGUUCGUAGGUGGUUGAAAAAGUUGGUGGUGAAAUCCCAGAGCUUAACUCUGGAACUGCCAUCAAAACUUUUCAGCUAGAGUAUGAUAGAGGAAAGCAGAAUUUCUAGUGUAGAGGUGAAAUUCGUAGAUAUUAGAAAGAAUACCAAUUGCGAAGGCAGCUUUCUGGAUCAUUACUGACACUGAGGAACGAAAGCAUGGGUAGCGAAGAGGAUUAGAUACCCUCGUAGUCCAUGCCGUAAACGAUGUGUGUUAGACGUUGGAAAUUUAUUUUCAGUGUCGCAGUGAAAACGAUAAACACACCGCCUGGGGAGUACGACCG